UGUACUUUUACUUGUACUUGAGUACAUUUUUAGUGCUGUAUCGGUACUUUUACUGCGCUAUUUUCCCUCAACCUGCAGUCGCUACAUUGUCUUUAUUUUUUUCCUGUCAAUGAUGAUUGGCUAAGGAGAAUAAUCAGUCCAGUGAUUCCCGUCCAAUCAAAUCACGCAUAGAAAACUUGCAUCAGACAGACUUCAAAACACCUGGCGCCAAUUUAGUUUAAUCAUGGAGGAAGAGGAGGAAGGAAGUGUGGUGGAUGCUUCAACAUGCAAUAACUCAAAUACAGCACUUCAGCAUCCUUGGCCAUACCUGAAGGAGCUUUUUACAAUGAAGGCGAAUAAGGGCAAUUGUGUCGUUAUGUCAUGCCUACUUUGCUUGCCCAGACCGGUUGAAAUACCAGCAUUCAAGAGUUCUUCCUCUAAUUUAAAAAAGCACAUCGAGAGAAAACAUCCAUCAAAAAUAAAGCAAUACAAUGAAUGCGCUGCAGUUCAUUCAGCCCAACCAAACAAGAUGGAACUCAAUGUACAAUGCUGCAGAGAGGGUAAUGCGGAUCCUGAAGGAGCAGGGAGAAGCAUCUCUUCGGAAUGUAUGUGCAGCAUUCAAAAUCAAAAUGUAAGUCUGUUUGCUCAAUCUCAGUGUGUUCUAAUUGGAAUACUUAAGUUGUUUGUUUAGAUUUGACUUUGUUGUUUGUUGUUGUCGUCAUUUAAUUUUUAAAUAGGCUAAAUCCUGCUGAAGUUUCUUAUCUCUCUGAAUACUGCAUUGUGAUGAAGCCUAUUUCCAUGGCCUUGCACAUCCCUCAGUCCGAAACAAACACUCAGAUGGGGUGGCUGCUUCCCACCAUCUACCUUCUUGAUUCCAAGCUCAAAAAGAUGGAGGCUUCAAUCAAGGUAUGUCUUCCCCUUAUUUAUGCUCUGCAGAAGAUCCGGAACUCAUCAGUGCUACAAUUCUUCUUCCAAAAUUCAAAACGUCAUGGACUGACAAGGCCCACAUCAUAAAAGCAGGGAUGGAUUACAUCCUGCAUCAUCUUGACGCCAUUAAGGACACCCAGCAAAACGACUCGCAGCAUGAUGCCUCUGAUGAGGAUGACUUCUUUUCUUCCAUUAAGACUGUUCAGUCUCCAACUGCAUCUGAACUGGAUGGAUACUUGGCUUGUGCCUCAGAAGAGAUGGGACUGCUUCACUCAUUUCCUUUGGUGAAAAAGCUAAGCCUCAAACUGAACACACCCUUGCCUGCCUCUGCAGCAUGCGAGCGCCUUUUUAGUUGUGCUGGGCAGCUGUUUACACCUAAACGAGCAAGGCUGGACAGUACAAAUUUUGAGAAUCAGCUCAUUGUAAAACUGAACAACAAAUUCAAAAUGUAGGAUUGUUGUCGCCCCCUACAUUAAAGUCUGCAUUCAUGUUAAGAGACUUGUUGGUUAAUGCAUGUUAAUGUAACCUUUUUAAGUUAAAUUGUUAAUGUACAAUGCUGCUUUUUUUUAUUAAGCUGCAAGAAGACCUCUACAGAGGUCAUAAAUGUUAUCUGAUUAUUGGCUGCUUUUUCAAAUAUUACAUGCCUGGAUUUUCAGUCCUAGCAGUCAAAAAUAAAACUCUUUGAGUAAUUGUUUUUAUUUUUUUUACUGAGAAACAUCCAUAAAAGAGAAUGACACUGUUUUAAAGCUACAUUUAAUUCACAGGGUAUAAGGUGAAAUAAGUCACAGCAUAAUACUCACUACUCUUGAGUACUUUUGAAGGGGCUACUCUUUACUCGUUGUACAAAAGGCCAAGCUUUAAUAAUGACGUUAGCGCCCUCCGCUGGAUAUUUAUUAUAGUCCACUGCAGGAUGCACGUAUUAUCUUUGAAUCACCUGACUAGUAUUCUGUAAUUUCAUUGGUUUAAAUCAGCAGAACUGAAUGUCAAUCAAAGACUGUUCGUGUCCAGACUUGUAUUGAAACUGCGUCAUUUGAUCGUGCUGAUCUGGUCCGAUUUCUUGCUGAUUUUUGUUCAUACUGUGUGCGUACAUCUUAAAAAACCACACACACACACUCAUACUGGUGUAUGAACAAAGACAACAGUAAAGAAUCCUUUUUGUGGACAUGGACCAAGUGAUUUAUUGUUCUGCCUUGACGAUCUGUAGCGGUUGCCACCUAUAUUAAGAUCCACACCUUAACAACUUUCAUACACUCGUACUUUGAGUGGUAUUUAGGACGGGUACUUUUACUCUACUCACAUUAAAUUUUUUGGUAAGUAAUAGUACUUUUACUUGAGUAUGAUUUUUCAGUACUCUUCCCACCACUGUAUAUAAGAGCUAUAUGCGUGAUGGCCCGCCAUGCUAGUUAGUGCUGCAGGUCAGAGAAUCGGAUUGGUUGCAUUUACAACACGCAAAUUCAUCCACUUCUCCGUAAAUACAUGAAAGUAAGUGAGCCGGUGAACUGGGAGAAGAAUAGAGUAAACCUUAAAGUUACUUACACAAUGUGCAUCUUACAUCAAAAGGAUUGUUAUUGCCGCUUCUAUAGAUAUCAGUCUGUAUUUUACAAACUCUAAAUGUUUUGUUAGUAGCUUCUUAUGUGUAUUUAAAUGUCUGAAACCUAAAAUAAACAAUGUGGUUGAAAACGUUACAUAUUUGUGAUUUAUUUUUAGGCCAGCCAAAGCGUGCAAUCACAUUUGAAUUUGGCAGUUGAUCACGUGAUGCACUGAACGUUCUAAUCACACC